rnacentral:rRNA from 1 species
AGAGUUUGAUCCUUCCUCACGACGAACGCUGGCGGCGUGCCUAACACAUGCAAGUCGAACGGAGAAUUUCAAUAAGCUUGCUUAGCGAAAUUUUUAGUGGCGCACGGGUGAGUAACGCGUGGGUAACCUACCCAUAAACCCGGGACAACCCUUGGAAACGAGGGCUAAUACCGGAUAAUCUUAAGGCUUGGCAUCAAGCUUUAAGAAAAGGUGGCCUCUGAAGAUGCUACCGAUUAUGGAUGGACCCGCGUCUGAUUAGCUAGUUGGUGGGGUAAAGGCCUACCAAGGCGACGAUCAGUAGCCGGCCUGAGAGGGUGAACGGCCACACUGGGACUGAGACACGGCCCAGACUCCUACGGGAGGCAGCAGUGGGGAAUCUUCCGCAAUGGACGAAAGUCUGACGGAGCAACGCCGCGUGUAUGAUGAAGGUCUUCGGAUUGUAAAGUACUGUCUUUGGGGAAGAACGGUAAUCUCGAAAAUAUUGAGGUUACAUGACGGUACCCAAGGAGGAAGCCCCGGCUAACUACGUGCCAGCAGCCGCGGUAAUACGUAGGGGGCAAGCGUUGUCCGGAAUUAUUGGGCGUAAAGGGCGCGUAGGCGGAUGUUUAAGUCCGGUGUGAAAGAUCAGGGCUCAACCCUGAGAGUGCAUCGGAAACUGGGCAUCUUGAGGACAGGAGAGGAAAGUGGAAUUCCACGUGUAGCGGUGAAAUGCGUAGAUAUGUGGAGGAACACCAGUGGCGAAGGCGACUUUCUGGACUGUAACUGACGCUGAGGCGCGAAAGCGUGGGGAAGCAACAGGAUUAGAUACCCUGGUAGUC